UACGGGGGGGGCAAGCGUUGUUCGGAAUUACUGGGCGUAAAGGGCUCGUAGGCGGCCAACUAAGUCAGACGUGAAAUCCCCCGGCUUAACCAGGGAACUGCGUCUGAUACUGGAUGGCUUGAGUUUGGGAGAGGGAUGCGGAAUUCCAGGUGUAGCGGUGAAAUGCGUAGAUAUCUGGAGGAACACCGGUGGCGAAGGCGACAUCCUGGACCAUCACUGACGCUGAGUGAGCGAAAGCCAGGGGAGCAAACGGG
rnacentral:rRNA from 1 species